UAAGUCAGCCACGAAUAGGCUAUCCCAACUAACGGCGGGAAAGACUCCACGGAGGGUGUAAGACCCGUGUGGGCGCGUGUUAAAGCUGUGUGGGCUCGGCCUCCAUUCCCUGAGAGUCGCGUUGCUUGAGCAUGCAGCGCUAAGCAGGUCGUAAACUCGAUCUAAGGCUAAAUAUUUCCACAGAACCGAUAGCGAACAAGUACCGUGAGGGAAAGUUGAAAAGCACUCUGGAGAGAGAGUCAAAAGACCGUGAAACCGCUCAGAGUAUAAGCCCAUGGCAGCUUGGAAGGCAUAUCGCUAGCGGGGCAUCGGUCUCCCUUCGCGGGGAGCUGGUGUUACCUUGCUUCUGUUGUGGCUCGUCAUGGUAGGGGGGUCAGGUCCACAUCCCGCCGUCGUGUGGAGAGUUCUUGGGUGUGUUGUGGUUUCUCGGUUGGCUUCGGCUUUCCGGGGGGCUCUUCGUACUUGGUUCUCUUUUAGACACGGACGUUCAGACUCAGUUGCAAGACGCGAUAACCAGCCCACCACGGCACGUUGUGAGGUCACCCACAGGCUCGACUUUCGAUCGUGAGCCUUGACGCCGAGCAAGCACAAUGCGUGUCGCAGAUGUUCCUAACCAGGCAAUGGUGCCAGGAUCGUGGAACGACACGCGCUCAAGAGUCAGGUUCGGGCGGAGACAGAGUUCUGGUAUGAUCCUCUUGCGACGAGCCGGCUUCUGGCCGACAUCCGAUGCUCAGGUCUCCCGCAUGUGCCGCGGGAGAUCGCUUUGACGGUCUGGA
rnacentral:rRNA from 2 species